rnacentral:rRNA from 1 species
CUUUCAGCAGGGACGAAGCGCAAGUGACGGUACCUGCAGAAGAAGCACCGGCUAACUACGUGCCAGCAGCCGCGGUAAUACGUAGGGUGCAAGCGUUGUCCGGAAUUACUGGGCGUAAAGAGUUCGUAGGCGGUUUGUCGCGUCGUUUGUGAAAACCAGCAGCUCAACUGCUGGCUUGCAGGCGAUACGGGCAGACUUGAGUACUGCAGGGGAGACUGGAAUUCCUGGUGUAGCGGUGAAAUGCGCAGAUAUCAGGAGGAACACCGGUGGCGAAGGCGGGUCUCUGGGCAGUAACUGACGCUGAGGAACGAAAGCGUGGGUAGCGAACAGGAUUAGAUA